rnacentral:rRNA from 1 species
GAUGAACGCUGGCGGCGUGCUUAACACAUGCAAGUCGAACGGAAAGGCCUCUGCUUGCAGGGGUACUCGAGUGGCGAACGGGUGAGUAACACGUGGGUGAUCUGCCCUGCACUUCGGGAUAAGCCUGGGAAACUGGGUCUAAUACCGGAUAGGACAAUUGUUUGGAUGCUGUUGUGGAAAGUUUUUCGGUGUGGGAUGAGCUCGCGGCCUAUCAGCUUGUUGGUGGGGUAAUGGCCUACCAAGGCGUCGACGGGUAGCCGGCCUGAGAGGGUGUACGGCCACAUUGGGACUGAGAUACGGCCCAGACUCCUACGGGAGGCAGCAGUGGGGAAUAUUGCACAAUGGGCGCAAGCCUGAUGCAGCGACGCCGCGUGGGGGAUGACGGCCUUCGGGUUGUAAACUCCUUUCGCUAGGGACGAAGCGUUUUUGUGACGGUACCUGGAGAAGAAGCACCGGCUAACUACGUG